GACGAACGCUGGCGGCGUGCUUAACAUAUGCAAGUCGAACGGAAAGGCCUGCUUUCCCUUGUGGAUUGCGGGUACUCGAGUGGCGAACGGGUGAGUAACACGUGAGUGAUCUGCCCCCAACUUGGGUAUAAGCCUGGGAAACUGGGUCUAAUUCCCGAUAGGACUGCAGGGUGGUGCCUGUGGUGGAAAACGAUUUUCUAGUGGUUGGGGAUGAGCUCGCGGCCUAUCAGCUUGUUGGUGGGGUAAUGGCCUACCAAGGCGGCGACGGGUAGCCGGCCUGAGAGGGUGGACGGCCACAUUGGGACUGCGAUACGGCCCAGACUCCUACGGGAGGCAGCAGUGGGGAAUAUUACACAAUGGGCGGAAGCCUGAUGCAGCGACGCCGCGUGGGGGAUGACGGCCUUCGGGUUGUAAACUCCUUUCGACCGCGAGGAAGCCACCUGGUUGGAAGGGUGGUGACGGUAGUGGUAGAAGAAGCACCGGCUAACUACGUG
rnacentral:rRNA from 1 species